ACCACCGUAGCAUAUAGCAGAAGUAGAUAACAGAAUCUAUCUUCGUUGGAUAAGAAAUUUUCCCACUUUCGCAAAAGCCUUGNNNNNNNNNNNNNNNNNNNNNNNNNNNNNNNNUGGCUUCUAACAAUGGCUUCUUCAGUUACGUCUUCUUUUCAAAUCAGGUUCAAACACCUAUUACUCUCUCUUUCAUUCUUCAUUCUCUUUGUACCAUUUCAUUUUACUUUCUUUUUUUUGUUCAAUAAUGGUUACAUGGAUUUUGAGUGUUGAAUUGUAACGAAAGAAAAAGUACCAAUUUUUGAAAAUUUAGUUACCCUUUUUCUUAGAAUAUAUAAAGUCUCAAACUUUAAGAAAACCCAACAUUUUUAACUCUCUUAAAGUUUCAAUUUGUGAAUGUGUGUGUUAUUUUUUAUAUAUUAUUUCUUCAUUUUUGUUUUUGUUUUUGUCAAGCUAUUUCUUCAUGUUUUAAUUGGGUCAAAAGGGUUAUAUAAUUAAUUGCUGGUUCAAGCAAUUUAUGGGUCUUUGUUGAAUUUGAAUUCAAUGAAAUGGAUGUUGCACUAAAGAUGUCUGAUGAAAUACUUGUUAGUAGCAUUAUUUUGGACUUUAAUAUUGUUAGUGAGCUAUGAAGCACAAACACAGAUACCGGACAGGACACAAACAGUGACACGUCAACACCGAUAAUAAUUCAAUGUAAACAUAAGUGUCGGUGCCGUGUCGGUAUCAGACACCACGCAUCCAACACCAGGACACACAUCUAAUCUAAGAAGUGUCUGUGCUUCAUAGCUAG
rnacentral:lncRNA from 1 species